AAGUCGUAACAAGGUUUCGUAUCCAAACGUUAAAACCCCCCGUGAACUUUCAAUCCUGCUCUUGGAACCCGCGUAGUUCCGCAAUCUCUGGUAAAUCAUAGUCCGAAAGUUGUUUGAUUCAGAGACCUCUGGCUACGUGAGAACAAUGGAACAGUUACAAUCGAGCGGUAGUUUCAUAGGCAUUGUUUCCCCAAGCAGUCAGUGUCGGAAAGUGUCAUUGAUUGUGCAAGGAUAGCGCUCCACGAUUCCUGUAGACCGUACACUCGGGCAGGAGCUAUGCCAAAGGGUCCCCAUGCCCCCUUACAACCCCACAGUUUAAUGUAAAGCUCAAUUGUAAUACAUUGGGUAAAACCGAACAACUGUU
rnacentral:misc_RNA from 1 species